rnacentral:rRNA from 1 species
CCUACGGGAGGCAGCAGUUAGGAAUUUUGGGCAAUGGGCGAAAGCCUGACCCAGCAACGCCGCGUGGGUGACGAAGGCCUUCGGGUUGUAAAGCCCUUUUCUGAGGGAAGAUGAUGACGGUACCUCAGGAAUAAGCACCGGCUAACUACGUGCCAGCAGCCGCGGUAAUACGUAGGGUGCAAGCGUUGCCCGGAUUUAUUGGGCGUAAAGGGCGCGCAGGCGGCUACGCACGUCCGUUGUGAAAUCGCUCGGCUCAACUGGGCGGGGUCAGCGGAUACGGCGUAGCUGGAGCAAGCUAGGGGGCAAUGGAAUUCCCGGUGUAGUGGUGGAAUGCGUAGAUAUCGGGAGGAACACCAGUGGCGAAGGCGGUUGCCUGGAGCUUUGCUGACGCUGAGGCGCGAAAGCGUGGGGAGCGAUCCGGAUUAGAUACCCGGGUAGUCCACGCCGUAAACGAUGUCGACUAGGUGUCGGGGGUAUCGACCCCCUCGGCGCCGCAGCACGACAUAGUCGACCGCCGUCGGACGUACGCCGCAGACUAACUACAAGAAGUAGACGGCGNGAGACGUGUCCGAACGGACGACGACGAGGGAGGUAGG